CGCUUGCGGGGUGGGGGACUGGGGGCUGGCUGGCUCCUGGGGACUUGGGAGAAGGCGCCGGAACAUGUGCAGCUGUGGCUCCAAACUUGUGUUGAUAAAGCCUCAAUUGCUAUUUUGAAAAGUGUCGAUCAACCAGAGAGGUGGCCUGCUGAAAGGUCCUGACGCAGAGAGACUUUGAUUACAGAAUAAAGGAUGGUGCGUAGAGUUCUUGCUCUGAGAAGACGACGUUUUUUCAGAGGAAACUCUUUCUCAGCCUUUUUUUCCCUGUCUGGACCCUGGUCUGUCCUCACCUGCCGACCAGCCUUCUGCUGCCCCCCCCAGGAGUCACAGACAUCCUGAGCAGUAUCCGAGGGCCGAGCAAAGGAAGUGAUUGCAGAGAGCAGCUGUGGGCACCGAGGCUGAAAGCAGGAAGCUGCGUCCUGACCUCUGGACCACCUGACCACCACUGGGUCUUGGUCCUUUCAUCUGUAAAAGAAGGUAAAAAAGAGCCCCUCCUUCACGCUCAAUGGG
rnacentral:lncRNA from 1 species